rnacentral:rRNA from 1 species
CAGCCGCCACGGUAAUACGAAGGGUGCAAGCGUUAAUCGGAAUUACUGGGCGUAAAGCGUGCGUAGGCGGUUUGUUAAGUCUGUUGUGAAAUCCCCGGGCUCAACCUGGGAAUGGCAAUGGAUACUGGCAAGCUAGAGUGUGUCAGAGGAUGGUGGAAUUCCCGGUGUAGCGGUGAAAUGCGUAGAGAUCGGGAGGAACAUCAGUGGCGAAGGCGGCCAUCUGGGACAACACUGACGCUGAGGCACGAAAGCGUGGGGAGCAAACAGGAUUAGAUACCCGUGUAGUCCCUGUCUCUUAUAC